rnacentral:sRNA from 1 species
GCUUAUAAUCUCAGCUACUUGGGAGGCUGAGGCAGGAGGAUCACUUGAGCCUGGGAGAUCAAGGCUACAGUGAGCCAUGAUUGUGCCACUGCAUUCCAGCCUGGGUGAAAGAGUGGGACCCUGUCUCAAAAACAAACGAACAAACUGUUAGUGACUUUACUGAACUUUUGAUAUUAAUCAGGUGCCUUCGCAGCAGAGUCUCUUGGAUUAUACUGCCUUCAUAUUAUUCAACAACUGAAUAAAAAAACCUAAUAAGACCAAUUCUCUUGUGUAGAGAAGAGAAAGCAUGGCUGAUUUUGUAUAUUUGAGAAAGUGAUGCUGGAAAGGUUAUUUUUGAGUGAGUAGAAGGUAGUAUUAUCUUCAGAAGUUCAGUUACUUUUAGGGUUAGUACUUAAGCCCAUUUGAUUCUCAGGAAAUGUGAGUCCAUUUACUUCUAGCUUCUACCAAGGAGACUUGGAGUAUGUUAGUGAAUUUGAUCAUUUUAGAGUCAAGGAAAGGAAACAGAUUAGGAAACAGAGGAAAUGGAAUAGUGCUGCCUUUAUCUUCUUUCCAGCAAUGGAAAUAACCAGUUGCUCCUUUAUAAUAUGUAAACUCUUAUCUUUCUGGCAGGUAAAAGACUUCUUAGAGAUGGUUACUAUUUUAUAUGAGAAAAUAGGUUGAUUUGAGGAGAGUGAUAAUUGAGGAGGGACAUAGUGGAUGCAGACGUGGAGAUGAAAGAAAAUAUUUUGAAGAAAAAUUUUUUUCUUUUUUUUUCCCCAAAGUGAGUAGCGUAUUUCACAGUGUCAUUGUAUGUAUGAUUACUCUUAACAUUCUUUUUUAUUCAUUUAUUUAAUUUUAUUUUUUUGACACAGGGCCUCACUAUGUUGCACAGGCUGGUCUUGAAUGCCUGGCUUCAAGUGAUUCUCCUGCCUCAGCCUCCCAAAGUUUUGGGAUUACAGGCAUGAGCCACCGCACCCAGCCAGCUUUCAGCAUUAGACUGUCUUAGAACUGACACUCCCUAUAAACAAGUUAAUGUGAGAACACUUUUAAUUUAAAAAUAUUGAGUUCUAAAUGAAGUAUUUAGUAUAAUCCAUUAAUCUAUUAUUAACUUUUCAGUUCACACAAAAGAUGUUGGACAAUUUCUACAAUUUUGCUUCAUCAUUUGCUGUCUCUCAGGCCCAGAUGACACCAAGCCCAUCUGAAAUGUUCAUUCCGGCAAAUGUGGUUCUGAAAUGGUAUGAAAACUUUCAAAGACGACUAGCACAGAACCCUCUCUUUUGGAAAACAUAAUUUGAAUAAAAUAAUUUUUAAUGGAUUCUGAAAUUUGUCAUGUUUUGAAGAUAACUGACUCCAUCUAAAAGUAUGAGGUCAAAGGAUCACGAAACCUAAGUUUAAAAACUGCUUAGGGACUGAAGCUUAAUUAAAAAUCUUUAUUAAAAAUUAAAAACAUUGAAAAAUGAAAAUAUGUUCAUCAUUAAAGACUUUUUUCCCCUUAAGCUUAAAAUACCAUUCAAAGGCAAGACAUUUUGUUUUGGCUAUGAUUCAUUUUUUUUACUUAAAAAUAAAACCUAUACCAAAC